GACGAACGCUGGCGGCGUGCCUAAUACAUGCAAGUCGAACGAACUCUGGUAUUGAUUGGUGCUUGCAUCAUGAUUUACAUUUGAGUGAGUGGCGAACUGGUGAGUAACACGUGGGAAACCUGCCCAGAAGCGGGGGAUAACACCUGGAAACAGAUGCUAAUACCGCAUAACAACUUGGACCGCAUGGUCCGAGUUUGAAAGAUGGCUUCGGCUAUCACUUUUGGAUGGUCCCGCGGCGUAUUAGCUAGAUGGUGGGGUAACGGCUCACCAUGGCAAUGAUACGUAGCCGACCUGAGAGGGUAAUCGGCCACAUUGGGACUGAGACACGGCCCAAACUCCUACGGGAGGCAGCAGUAGGGAAUCUUCCACAAUGGACGAAAGUCUGAUGGAGCAACGCCGCGUGAGUGAAGAAGGGUUUCGGCUCGUAAAACUCUGUUGUUAAAGAAGAACAUAUCUGAGAGUAACUGUUCAGGUAUUGACGGUAUUUAACCAGAAAGCCACGGCUAACUACGUGCCAGCAGCCGCGGUAAUACGUAGGUGGCAAGCGUUGUCCGGAUUUAUUGGGCGUAAAGCGAGCGCAGGCGGUUUUUUAAGUCUGAUGUGAAAGCCUUCGGCUCAACCGAAGAAGUGCAUCGGAAACUGGGAAACUUGAGUGCAGAAGAGGACAGUGGAACUCCAUGUGUAGCGGUGAAAUGCGUAGAUAUAUGGAAGAACACCAGUGGCGAAGGCGGCUGUCUGGUCUGUAACUGACGCUGAGGCUCGAAAGUAUGGGUAGCAAACAGGAUUAGAUACCCUGGUAGUCCAUACCGUAAACGAUGAAUGCUAAGUGUUGGAGGGUUUCCGCCCUUCAGUGCUGCAGCUAACGCAUUAAGCAUUCCGCCUGGGGAGUACGGCCGCAAGGCUGAAACUCAAAGGAAUUGACGGGGGCCCGCACAAGCGGUGGAGCAUGUGGUUUAAUUCGAAGCUACGCGAAGAACCUUACCAGGUCUUGACAUACUAUGCAAAUCUAAGAGAUUAGACAUUCCCUUCGGGGACAUGGAUACAGGUGGUGCAUGGUUGUCGUCAGCUCGUGUCGUGAGAUGUUGGGUUAAGUCCCGCAACGAGCGCAACCCUUAUUAUCAGUUGCCAGCAUUAAGUUGGGCACUCUGGUGAGACUGCCGGUGACAAACCGGAGGAAGGUGGGGAUGACGUCAAAUCAUCAUGCCCCUUAUGACCUGGGCUACACACGUGCUACAAUGGAUGGUACAACGAGUUGCGAACUCGCGAGAGUAAGCUAAUCUCUUAAAGCCAUUCUCAGUUCGGAUUGUAGGCUGCAACUCGCCUACAUGAAGUCGGAAUCGCUAGUAAUCGCGGAUCAGCAUGCCGCGGUGAAUACGUUCCCGGGCCUUGUACACACCGCCCGUCACACCAUGAGAGUUUGUAACACCCAAAGUCGGUGGGGUAACCUUUUAGGAACCAGCCGCCUAAGGUGGGACAGAUGAUUAGGGUG
rnacentral:rRNA from 1 species